UCCGAAUGGUCCUAAUGCUAAUGUGAGCGUAAUUUAUUUGAGAUCCGGAAAAGUUACAGAACCAGCCCCUGAAAAAAAUAAAAAAAUCAUUGAGGUAACUUCUGAACUUUCUCCUUCUGAACCUCACUCAGCUGAACUUUCUUCUCCUUCUUCUGUUGUGGUCGAAACUGAAAAAAUAAAAGAAAAGGAGUAUGUGCCAUCAGUCUCCAUUCCACAUAGAGUUCUGAAAAAUAAAAGAAUUGAGGA
rnacentral:lncRNA from 1 species